GGGAGGGAAGAAAAGUCAGUAGAGAAGGUAGGCAGUGCUUGCAAAGGCCUGAGUCUGAGGUACUUCUUUAUAGCACUGCAAGAAUGGACUAAUACGCUAUGUGAAGACAAAGGGGAUGUCUGCAAGCCAGGACGAGUGCGUCUACCAGAAACUGAGUUCUGCUGGACUUUGAUCUAGGACAUCCAGCCUCCAGAAUGGAAUGUGCCAUAUGUGGAGACCUGCAUGGAAAGGAACUGAGGAUGCUCUCUCACUAAAAGCUAGAAGGAACUGAGGCCCUCAGUCAACAGUCUACAAGACACUGAAUCUUGCCAGCAGCCAAGCAGUGAGCUUGAAAGCAGAUCUAUCAUCAGCUGAACCUUCAGAUGAGACCGCAGCCUAAGCAGAUACCUUGGUUGCAGCCAUGUGAGACAACCUGAAACAGAGGGCACAGCUAAGCCUCAGCCAGGUUCAUGACCCUCUGAGGAAACUGUGAGAAAGCAAAUGUCAUUUUAAGCUAUUUAAUUUUGGAGGUAGUUUAUUACACAACAAUAAAUAACUAUUAUAAUUAUCUUGAGGAUUUAUUUCCUGGGGAGAAUACAUGGAAUUGCAUAUAUAGGUCCUCAUAUGCAGAAUACUGGUACCCUAGAGAUGUUCACCCCAGAGAUGUUUUAGGAACCUGUGAAUAUGUUACAUUAAAUGGCAAAGUUUUCCUGGAUGGUUUAAGUUUAAGAUGGAAAAGUUUUACUGGAUUAUCCAGUGGGUCCAAUCUAGUAACAUGAGUCCUUAAAAAUGGAGAAUAUUUUUUGGCCAUGAUCAGAGAGACAUGUGAUGAUGGAAAAAGUGUCAGAGAUGCAAUGUGAGGGGACUAAAACUGCUGUUGCUGACUUUAAAGAUGGAGAGAGGGGAACCCGAGUCAAGGAAUGCAAAUGGCCUCUGGAAGCUGGAAAAAGCAAGAAAUGGAUUCUCCUUUAGAGCCUGUGGAAUAAAAUGCAGUCAUGCUGACACCUUGAUUUUACCUCAGUGAGACCAAUACUGGAGUAUGACCUUCGGAGCUGUAAGUUAAUAAAUUUCUGUUGUCUUAUGCA
rnacentral:lncRNA from 1 species